ensembl:lncRNA
GUAGCCCUGGAACAAAGCGGCUCCACUAGCGCGGCGCGCGUGCGCGGGGCCUGCCGCGCUUCCCCUAAGGAGUCAGGGCUGUCUGCGCUGGGGAGUCCGUCCCUGGCUGAUCCUGCAGUCCGUCCGGUCCGUUCCCUGCCCGGCGGAGUGCGCCCACAUCCUUGGGGCUUACCCCCUCCCACUCUGCCCGAGGCUGGGCGGCUCCCCGCCACCCUGCCUCUACAUCCUGGAGGGAAUCAGGGUCAGAGAUGAAUGGCGGCGGUGCCUGAGAUUUGCCAGAGUGCGUGCCUCUGGAACCUGCAGGAGUUGAGCUUUCUGACCAGCUAUUUGUAAGGCCUCCCCAGGGGGUAAAGCUUGGUUGUGACAGCAGAGCUCUGAUGUGAACUGAACAGAACUGGUGCGCACCACCCCAACCGCCCCCCGCCCCAUGUCCAUGUGGCAUGGUGACCCAGGAACUGGCACCGAGCAUCAGCAUCUUGGAAGUGAGUCUCCCUCUUCCCACUGGUGCCCCUGGAUUUCUUAGAGGGGGCCUGGUUCAAUGCCUGGUUGGAGAACGAGAUCCUGCAUGCUGCAACUAGAAGACCCUGUAUGCCACAAGGAAGACCCGGUGCAGCCAAAUAAAUACUAGAAAAGAACGAAAUGAUGCUGUGUGCAGCGACGUGGACGCAACUAGAGAUUAUCCUACUAUGUGAACAAGUCGGAGAAAGACAAAUACCACGGGACGUCACUUCUGUGUGGAAUCUACAAUAUGACGAACUGAUCUAUCAAACAGAACCAUGAACAUACAGAACCAAGCGGUGGUUGCCAAGGGGGAAGGGGCUGGGGUUAGCAGAUAUAAGCUUUUGUAUAUAGAAUCUAUA